UGCAGUCGAGCGGAACGAGUUGUCUGAACCUUCGGGGAACGAUAACGGCGUCGAGCGGCGGACGGGUGAGUAAUGCCUGGGAAAUUGCCCUGAUGUGGGGGAUAACCAUUGGAAACGAUGGCUAAUACCGCAUAAUAGCUUCGGCUCAAAGAGGGGGACCUUCGGGCCUCUCGCGUCAGGAUAUGCCCAGGUGGGAUUAGCUAGUUGGUGAGGUAAGGGCUCACCAAGGCGACGAUCCCUAGCUGGUCUGAGAGGAUGAUCAGCCACACUGGAACUGAGACACGGUCCAGACUCCUACGGGAGGCAGCAGUGGGGAAUAUUGCACAAUGGGCGCAAGCCUGAUGCAGCCAUGCCGCGUGUAUGAAGAAGGCCUUCGGGUUGUAAAGUACUUUCAGCAGUGAGGAAGGUGGUGUACUUAAUACGUGCAUCAUUUGACGUUAGCUGCAGAAGAAGCACCGGCUAACUCCGUGCCAGCAGCCGCGGUAAUACGGAGGGUGCGAGCGUUAAUCGGAAUUACUGGGCGUAAAGCGCAUGCAGGUGGUUUGUUAAGUCAGAUGUGAAAGCCCGGGGCUCAACCUCGGAAUUGCAUUUGAAACUGGCAGACUAGAGUACUGUAGAGGGGGGUAGAAUUUCANGUGUAGC
rnacentral:rRNA from 1 species